UGUAAGAGUCUAAGCAUGAAUGAACGUGGCAUUUGGGGAAGGCAUUCCUCAUGUUUCUCCUUCAUUUGUGUCUCACAAUCGUCCUCUGAGAUUUUUAAUUUAACCAGCUUUUUAAGAGUAAGCUCCGAAGCGAAGUGACCUGCCCAAGGAGGCGAGUUGCUCAGUGAUGGGAGCAGCCACUCAGUCUCUUAGCUCUGAAUUCAGCGUUCUCUUCACAACGCGACGCUCUCCUUCUCACGCCCAUCUCUUCACCAGCCACGCCGCAUGCGGGUCAUAGAACAAGAGCGUCAACACAACAGACCAUAAGUGACAUAAGUGUGAGAGUUCCUCUCUCUCGGACACUCCAUCUCCCGUGGCGAGUGAGUCACUGACAAUGCACCUCCUUUGUUCCCGGAGAGAGCAUUCUAGCCUGAAUCCUGUCUCCUUUCCCGCAACCAGAGAAUUGUGUGGGACAAGCGAGAAGAAAACGUCCGAUGGCCCCUUUCCUAGAGGUGAAAGGCAGCCCUCAGGUCCUGCUGCCAAUUGUCCCCCUCCCCUCCGGGCUUCCUCUGGCCUUCUGUGGUCACCGGAGGCUUUCAAGCAGAAGUCCUCCGAAGUUCAAGGGCAGGAGGAUUCAUACGAGGAAGGCGGGGUCCGCAUGAGCUUGAAUGCUGGGACCCACGACUGACAGUGCUGCGUGGGAUGCCCGAAACUAGCCGUUCAGCAUCCAGCCUCCUCAUUUCUCAACAGCCUCCAGAGGAAUACGAAAAAUGCCAGCCAGAAGGAACUGCUCGGUUGUCCUGAAAUUAGCAUUUCUAUUCAACUCCCAAUUCUGCUAAUGAAUCCCAAGCUGUCUCUAUGACGGACUUGCUGUUUGGGGUCCUGACUUUGGAAAAAUAAUGGAAACUUUCAAGAUGUUUUGGAUGCUCCGUCUUCACCACCCUGCUUCUCCAAAUUUCAUCCAACUGAGAAUGGACACCGGGAACCAGCUGGGAUCCAAGCAUAGCUUUACAGCUGCUGAGAAGAGCCUGAAAUGGGGCAAAUGCCAGCAAGCCCUCUUAUAAGCCAGGUUCCCUUUGUCCGGGUCCAGGAUGGAGGGUCUGACUCCUCUCCCUUGCACUGUGGGCAGCAGAGUCCCUGAGCCAGGCCUCCCUGGCCCACCUAGGAUGCAGGAAGAGCCUAGGCCCAGGGAACAGAGGUUGGGAUCUCCCUGGGGCAGCCCUUGCUACCUGCUCACCGGUGAAAAGUGCAAUACAGGAGCCCCCAGGCCUGGCCCGCAGAAGAACCUGGAAAGAGGAGCUGGUCUCUCAUUGGACACACCCCCGAGUAAAAUGAACCAAUCGGAUUAGCGCAUGCAUCUCUGGGGGGCGGGGCAAGGCUGAAAACUCCCCGCUGCGGGUCUUCAGAGCCAAGGGAUGGGCGUGGGGAAAGGUGCUGUUUACCCGGGGCUAGAAAAGGCUCAGAAGACAAAGCAGGGUUCCUCCCACAGGAACCCCCUAGCAGCAGAAAGUAGGACAUCCAGGAUGCCCUGUGCCCUCCUGCUCCAGCUGGAGGCGCGAGGCUUCUGGAAGCCUGCAGCCCGUGUGAUGGAGGGGCGGUUGCAUGUUUAGACCCUACCUGCUGAAUUCCAAUAGAAAGCAAAGAGAACCCCUCACCACCACCACCAAGUCAGUCCCCUAGCCAGAGCCCCUUGGCGUAUGAACACGGCCUCUUCUACCCACAGCAGGGGACAAAAUAUGCCUGGUUCCAGCGGGUCUGAGAUUCACCCACCCCCAGACUGUGCAAGAUGCAGGCAGUCUUCUAGAUUGUUCUAUUGUGGUAACUCCCCUAUUAUGCACCAUUAAGAAAACCAUUAAAAAUCAUAGUCAGGAAAAGUUUUGAACACUCAGAAAUAAGUCAAAGAGGUGAUCCGAUUACCUUUUAGUUUUAGGCUAAAUGAUAUUCGAAUGAGCAUGCCAGAAGCUCAGCUGACUUGGAGAAUAUACUGGUUUGAGUAACAGUUGGUUCAGG